rnacentral:rRNA from 1 species
CCUACGGGGGGCAGCAGUGAGGAAUAUUGGUCAAUGGCCGGAAGGCUGAACCAGCCAAGCCGCGUGAAGGACGAAGGUGCCAAGCAUUGUAAACUUCUUUUGUCAAGGGACAAAAUCAGGCUCGAGAGCCUGACCGAGGGUACUUGAAGAAAAAGCAUCGGCUAACUCCGUGCCAGCAGCCGCGGUAAUACGGAGGAUGCGAGCGUUAUCCGGAUUUAUUGGGUUUAAAGGGUGCGUAGGCGGACUGUUAAGUCAGCGGUAAAAGCCCGGGGCUCAACCCCGGCGAGCCGUUGAAACUGGCUGGCUUGAGAUGUCGAGAGGUAGGCGGAAUGCGUGGGGUAGCGGUGAAAUGCAUAGAUAUCACGCAGAACUCCGAUUGCGAAGGCAGCAUACCGGCGCCCGACUGACGCUGAGGCACGAAAGCGUGGGUAUCGAACAGGAUUAGAUACCCCAGUAGUC